AUGGUGCAUAUGAAUCAAGGACAAGGGGAAACAAGCUAUGCACACAACUCCAGUGUCCAGAACGCUCAGCAGAACAGGAUGAUGCCCCUGAUAGAAGCGGCCAUCAUUGACUUGUGCGGCAGCAGAAGCACCUUGUUCCCUGAAAAGAUGCUGAUUGCGGACUUGGGCUGCUCUUAUGGCCCAAAUGCGCUAGCACUGGUAUCGACUGCCGUCAAGGCCAUCAUCAACCACUGCCUUCAGUUCCAGCAACCACCACCCGAAGUGUGUGUGCUCCUCAAUGACCUUCCUGACAAUGACUUCAACACGGUGGUGAAGAGCCUGGCCACGCUCCGUCAAAGUAACAACAAGCUCUUCACUAGUGACUCCUUGCAUCUUGUCUGCUCGUCCAACAGCUUGCAUUGGCUCUCCAUGGCUCCCGAAGAUCUGACGAUGAACCAGAUCCCUGCGUACGACAUGGAUGAACAUGCUAGGCGUGAAAGACUCCCUAUGGUCCGUGAGGCUUAUGCACGUCAGUUCAGGAAACAUUUCAUACUUUUCCUGGAGCUGAGAGCCAAAGAAUUGGUCCCAGGAGGCCGAAUGGUUGUUUCCCUUGUAGGGCGGCCUUCUAAUGUAAAAGCCUCCAAAUUCUUUCACCUUUGGGAAACCUUAGUUCAGAUUCUAAGUGUCAUGGCCUUAGAGGGUGUGAUCGACAAAGCGAAGUUUGAUUCUUUCUAUGUGCCGGUGUAUGGACCCUCUGGUGAAGAGCUGAGGGAGAUCAUCCAAGACGAGGGCUCCUUUUCUAUCAGCGAUAUGCGGGUAUAUGACGCUGCAACUGAUAUGAACAGCAUGCUCUUCACCCCAAGCUCGUUUGUGAAUUAUCUGAGAGCCAUAUUUGAGCCGAUAAUAGUCGAGCAUUUUGGAGAGGUCAUGGAUGAAUUUGUGAGGACCGCGGAGCGGCGCUGGAGCCUCGAGGGCAGCAUGCAAGACGAGCGUGCUAGAAAUCCACGAGCUAUGCUGGCUGUAUCCCUUGUAAAGGCAUGA
rnacentral:rRNA from 1 species